rnacentral:rRNA from 1 species
AUACGGAGGAUCCAAGCGUUAUCCGGAUUUAUUGGGUUUAAAGGGUGCGUAGGCGGACUGGUAAGUCAGCUGUGAAAGUUUGCGGCUUAACCGUAAAAUUGCAGUUGAUACUGUCAGUCUUGAGUGUGCAUGAGGUGGGCGGAAUUUGUGGUGUAGCGGUGAAAUGCUUAGAUAUCACGAGGAACUCCAAUUGCGAAGGCAGCUCACUGGGGCAUAACUGACGCUGAUGCACGAAGGUGUGGGUAUCAAACAGGAUUAGAUACCCUGGUAGUCCGCACAGUAAACUAUGAAUACUCGCUGUUUGCGAUAUACAGUAAGCGGCCAAGCGAAAGCAUUAAGUAUUCCACCUGGGGAGUACGCCGGCAACGGUGAAACUCAAAGGAAUUGACGGGG